AAAGACUAGAAAAACAUUUUAAAUAAGCAUAAACUUAAUACUGCAUUUUAAAAUACAUAACUUUACAAUAACAUGGUUUAUAUGACACUUUAAUGCUAGAUGCAGUUUUAUAACACACUGUGGCUCAACUUAAGUUUGUCAAAUGACAAGAGAAAAUGCAUGUUGAUUUUUCAACUCUGGCUAUAUUUUCAUGCUUGAGCUGACCCCUUCAUUGUAUUUUUAUUUUCUUUUUUCAUUCCUUACACAUACAGAAUGUAAAUAGUUUUAAUAUCAGCCUAAGUAUCACCUGACUUAGAGAGCCAGUUUACCAUCAAAAAUAAUGUAUCUUUUGCUUGAUGACUUGUGAUGUAGAAAAAAAGAAAAAGAAAUGUUUUAUCCUAAAAGAAAAAAAAAAGGGAGUGAGGGAUUUCAUGUUUUGACUGUCUGCAUCACUUAGAGGAGUCCACUGGUCCAGAUAAAAAAAGAGUAUGCUGGUAUAUUACUGCAUCAAGGAUGAACAAAGAUGGCAAGCAAAGUAAGUUUCCAAAACCAUUUAUCCCUAACUUACUCUAUGAGGAUGAAAUUCUGAAUGAUUCAUCUUACAAUCAAGAAAUUGCCAUUGUUAGUUGGGUGUGGUGGCUACCCUCCCCAGUGGGAAGAUCGCUUGAGCCCAGGAGUUUGAGCUGCAGUGAGCUACGAUUGUGCCACUACACUCCAGCCUGGGCAAUAGAGCAAGACCCCAUCUAUAAAUUUUAAAAAAGAAAGAAAAGAAAUUGCCAUUGAUUGUAUAGUAACACAAGGGUUCUCAGACCAGCAACAUCAGCACCAACUGGGAACUUGUUAAAAAUGCAAAUUCACAAGCCCACCUGGACCUACUCAAUCGGAAGCCUGGGGGUGGAGCACAGCAGUCCAUGUUUUAACAAGCCCUCCAGAUGAUUAUGAUGCUCACUCAAGUUUGAAAAUCACUGAACGAAGUCAAGAAUACAGUGGGAAAAAAAUACCUAGCACUCUGAGAACUUUAUUAGAAUGUAUUUUUAAAAAAUUGAUCCAAAAUAUUAUGACAUAGUCUUCAUGUAAUGAAUUCUUUCAUAGGACAACUAUGAUACAUAGUAAUGGUCUACAAGGAAAUAAAACCUAUAAACUGAUCCACAGAGUAGGUUUACUGGUACCAAAGGUUAGCAUUCAUUCUUCACUGUAUUUUUAUGAUCCUUUUUCAUUAAUAUUGCACCUGAGUUGCUCUGGCAAAGAUUUCCUGCACCAUUAGGUAUACAAAAGUGGUAGUUAUUACCAAUUAUUUGCUGAAAUAAAAUUAGCAGUAAUCACCACCAAAACUUUUACUGUUUUUCUCCCAUUGUUAAUUACAAUAUCCUAAGAACCACAUAUAAUGUAUCGAGCCCUUGUAAAGCUAACGAAUAAACCAAUUACAUCUUUUGCAUGAAGGAGAAAUUCCAUGUUAAAACUCAAAAACUUAUUAUUUAUUUUUUGAGACAGAGUCUUAUUUUGUCACCAAGGCUGGAGUGCAGUGGCACAAUCUCAGCUUACUGCAACCUCUGCCUCCCAGGUUAGGGUGAUUCUCCUGCCUCUGCCUCCUGAAUAGCUGGGACUACAGGUGCAGGCCACCACACUUGCCUAAUUUUUUUUUUAUUAUUUUUACUAGAGACGGGUUUUCCCCAUGUUGGCCAGGCUGGCCUCAAACUCCUGACCUCAGGCCGGUCUCAAACUCCUGACCUCAGGUGAUCUACCCGCCUCCACCUCCCAAAGUGCUGGGAUUACAGGUGUGAGCCACUGUGCCUGGCCAAAAACUUAUUCUUUUAUAUAAACUGCAUGUAUACUUUCAAAGUGAGCUAAUUUCUUUAGUAGUGACCUUGGGAAGCCUUAUUUCUUUCAUGGCAAACAUCUGAUUACUGCUUUCAUGCUGAACCAAAAGAGCUCUGCCGAAGGAGCCCUCCCCAAUCAUUCUCAGGACCAUGUAGUCAUCCAUGCUGGGGCAUCCACACAGCUGGGCUCCACUCACGCAGUCACCAUGGGCUCUCCCAAACUGCAUUCAAAAGCAGAAACAUUUGAGAAUUAAAUGUACUUUCAAAAAGCAAAAAUUAAUUCAAAGUAGCUCUCAUAACCAUGAUAAGAGAAAAGCAAAUUAUUCCUUUUGAAGAGGAUCAGUGUAUGCUACCCCAAAAUAUGCCACUUUCAUGUAAGAAUUGUUUUGAGCUGAAACCAAUUUGCUCUUUGCCCUCCCUUUUUUGUAUAAAUGCAGGGCAUAAAUUUUCCUAUGUACAGGUAAUAAAUAUCCAUUUGUAAAUGUGUCUUCCUUUCCAGUACCAGGAAGAGGAGAGCAACUCUUACCAAUGGGGAAGGCACCAACUUGAGUCCACAUAACAAACUUUACUGAAUAACCCUUAUCUUAUGUUAGCUUCCGCCAUAUAUUUACCUUCCUACAAUUUACCCAAGAAGCAUUCCCCUACUUUUGUCUAGUUACUUCUCUAUAAUUUAUCACUCUUUGUUAAAAUGGCAUAUGAGCCCCCUGGUCUAACCACUUCUUUACAUUUAUGCAUAAACCUUUUUUCCUGUUAAUCUAUCUUUCAUCAGUUUAUUUUGCAGGGCCCAGCUACUGAACCUAAGAGGGCAGAGAAAAAAUGUUUUUCCUCCCCUAUACUACAUACAACAGGCAGACACUGAGCACCAACUCUGAGUCAGAUGUUAUAAUCUGAAAAAUCUCUCAUAGUCCCUGCCAACGUGGACAUCCCAUGCAGAGAUAACCAUAAACCUCAACAAAUGUAGGCUAUUUAAGCUGAAGCCUGAAGGAUGAAUGAAACUUGGCUAGACAAAGAGGAGGAAAAGAGUAAUCAAGGAAGAGGAAAUUGCAUAUUUAAGAGCUAAAGAAAUUACAUUCAGUUCAAGAAAUUGAAAGAAGAAUGUAACAAGCUGCUGAAGCAUUUUAACCAAGAAGGCAAUAUAAUCAUAUUUGCAUAUUAGAAAAAACAUUCACUCAGAUUGCAGAUUAAAUGGACCAGUGGAGGAGGGGCAGGAAGGCCAGCUCAGAGACACAGGCCAGUUAGGAGGCUCCAACAAUAGAAAAGGCAGGAAAAUAAUGAAAUGGAAUAGAGUGGAGGCAAUGGGGUCAGAAAAAAUGGGAAGG